rnacentral:rRNA from 1 species
CACGUAGGGGCCAAGCGUUGUCCGGAUUUAUUGGGCGUAAAGAGCUCGUAGGCGGUUUGUCGCGUCUGCUGUGAAAACUCGGGGCUUAACUCCGGGCCUGCAGUGGGUACGGGCAGACUAGAGUGCGGUAGGGGAGACUGGAAUUCCUGGUGUAGCGGUGAAAUGCGCAGAUAUCAGGAGGAAUACCGGUGGCGAAGGCGGCAUCCUGGACCGGCAUUGACGCUGAGGAGCGAAAGCUAGGGGAGCAAACGGG